rnacentral:misc_RNA from 1 species
GAAAUGCGAUAAGUAAUGUGAAUUGCAGAAUUCAGUGAAUCAUCGAAUCUUUGAACGCACAUUGCGCCCGCCAGUAUUCUGGCGGGCAUGCCUGUUCGAGCGUCAUUACAACCCUCAGGCCCCCGGGCCUGGCGUUGGGGAUCGGCGGAAGCCCCCUGCGGGCACAACGCCGUCCCCCAAAUACAGUGGCGGUCCCGCCGCAGCUUCCAUUGCGUAGUAGCUAACACCUCGCAACUGGAGAGCGGCGCGGCCACGCCGUAAAACACCCAACUUCUGAAUGUUGACCUCGAAUCAGGUAGGAACACCCGCUGAACUUAAGC